rnacentral:rRNA from 1 species
CCUACGGGUGGCUGCAGUGGGGAAUAUUGCACAAUGGGGGAAACCCUGAUGCAGCGACGCCGCGUGAGUGAAGAAGUAAUUCGUUAUGUAAAGCUCUAUCAGCAGGGAAGAAAAUGACGGUACCUGAGUAAGAAGCCCCUGCUAACUACGUGCCAGCAGCCGCGGUAAUACGUAGGGGGAACGCGUUAUCCGGAUUUACUGGGUGGAAAGGGAGCGUAGACGGCAGUGCAAGUCUGGAGUGAAAGACGGGGGCUCAACCCGCGGACUGCACUGGAAACUGGACGGCUGGAGUGCAGUAGAGGGAAGUAGAAUUCCUGGGGUAGCGGUGAAAUGCGUAGAGAUCAGGAGGAACACCAGUGGCGAAGGCGGCUUACUGGACGGUAACUGACGUUGAGGUGCGAAAGCGUGGGGAGCAAACAGGAUUAGAUACCCGAGUAGUC